AGCAGCCAACCUAAAUGAGGGGACUGGAGGAGCAAACCUCGCUCAAGGAAAUCAGAGAUCAACUGGAAUCAAUCCUCGGGCUAUGGAAAGGAGUAACGCAAACAAAACACAGGUUGUGUGUAUGUUUGUGUAUGGGGGGGGCUGGUUGCCAUGACACAAAGGGCCACACCCACCAAGGCUGGGCUGAAACAGGGAUGAGGCUCUGAGACAGAAACUUGCGUAAACAGCCAAUCCUCUAGGAGAGGCCCCCCCCCCCCCACUGCAGUAGAACAACUGCCUAGUAAUGAGGAGACCCCCAGCUGAGGACACCAGCUUCUGAACAGUGGCUGAGCUGCUCUUUCUAGGCAUUAACUCCAGAAAUUGGAGAUGAGGAAACCAGAGCAAACUGGAGGUCAGCUUGGAGGUUGUGUCCAUCGCUGAACCAAUCAGUUGGGUAAGAGGAUUGUGUACCCGGAACGCCAGCCUGGAUGGUCUUAUUCAAUCCUCACAACAACUUUCUAAGUGAGCGAGGAAGGCUGUGUCAAUAUGGGGGUGCACCACGGGGUCUCCACAUGGAGAGCAGCUGCAGAGAGUCACCACACGUGCAACAAGGCUUUGUGUCAGAUCCCAUCCAGGCAGUACAACAUUACAUUUUGUCAUUGCAUCCCCUUAAGGACAUGACAGUUUCUCCGACUGUCCUUGCUUUUGAGCACCUUGACAGCUGUAAGGAGUGCUGGUCAGCUCCUUCUACAGGUAAGAAAACUGACAUGUGGAGAGUUAACCUAGUCCAGGGGACAUGCCAUCUAGUUCCAGAAACGGCUCUCUCAUCUGCCCGUGCUGCCUCAAGUUUCCAGAAGGGCACACCUCCUGAUUUUAUCCAGCCAAGAAAUAGAAAACACUCCAUUUUGAACUUCGGUUUCCACCAACUUUUUUUUCCCCCCUUUGCUUUUUCUUUCUUUCAAAAGUGUGCAGGGGAGACUGAGAUACAAGGUCUUAUUUUCAUCUGGGCUCUGGCCCAAGAGCCUCGACCAAAAAGUUACUUAAGUCAUAUUUCCAUCAUCUGCAGAUGGCUGUGUAUUUAUUUCUCACCAAAGUAAAAUCCCAA
rnacentral:lncRNA from 1 species